rnacentral:lncRNA from 10 species
UGGGGUCAGGAGCGCCCAGGAAUGAGUGUGCCGUGGCAGCAGAGUCCAGCAUAUGGCAACCAAUGUCCACUGACACCUGGCUGCCCGUAUGUCUCCUGUGGUAUGGUAUCAGUGGCAUAGCAAGCCGUGCUGGGAGCUUUGCUGUGACAGCCUUACUUGGUACCUUGUUCUCCAGUCUUCCUCUUGAUUCUCUGAGCUCCCUAGUCACUUUCAAUAAAUCCCUCCUCUGUUUAAACAUUAGCCAGAAGUUGUUGUUUGAAACCCAGCACCUUGACUAGUACAGCGGGGGAGUGAGCCACAUUUUCAAAAGAUAACUGGUAAAUGGAAAAUGGAUUUCAAAAGUCUGCUAAAUGGAAAAUGGUUUAAAAGGGUUAUCAGCCAUUGGCCAGUCAGAAACAGAAGACACUGUAGGUAUUUCAGUAAAUAUAAAGAAUUGGUUUCACAGGCAUUAGAGGGCUGAAAGAGUAAAAGGAAAAAGGAAGAGGCUAGGUAACCUAGGGAUUAAUAACUGCAGGAAGCAGCUCUCGCUCCCAAGGCUGACCAACAGGAGGGAACAGGUGGAGUUGCCUGUACUGAGGAGCUUGGAGGAGGGGCCCCACGGGGCUGGUGCUUGGAUUUCUGAGGACAGCUCUGCCUGGCUCAGAUCUCGGAUGAGGGGGUUGCUGUCUGGCUGGUGUUUCCACCAAAGGGGCGUGGCUCUACAGGUGCUCAGACCUCCCUGGGGUGCAGCCCAGCAGGUGAGGGGGUGUGGCAUGGCUGCUGCUGGCACCUGGGGCUUGAGGGGAGGCACAGCAAGGUUGGUACUGAGAAUACUCAGAAGCUGGAGCUAGGGCCAGUUAUGUGCUGCUACUGAAGUAAAAUUGAAAACAGGAAGUGGAAAACAAGGUAGAAGUCCCUUCUUUUCUUCUGCUUUGUGAUCUCCUUCUAAUGCCUCAGAUUGGAAAACCUAACAGGAAGCCAGCUAGCUGGGAGGUGGAGAGAUUUCGUUUGCAUCAUCCCAACCCCAGGAUUACAGAGAAGAGCAUAGAAAGAUAUCUUGGAGAUCACAGAUAAAUCGCCAGCACAGACAACAUCAUGUCCAGUUAGGAGGCCAUGGCAGUAGCCCAGGAGAGAGAAGAUGAUGGCCCAGACAUUUGGUCAGGACACAAACCACAGUCAAAAAAGGUCUUCCUGAGUUCUGAAGGUCAAGCAAUUAGAAUUUUCUCAGGCUUGUAGAAGAGUGGAAUUCUGGAAACCAGUCUUCGCCUCAGGGGAGCAUCUGUUGGAAGUUCUUAGGGAUGCUCAGGCAUAUGGCCUCAGAAACAUGGGCUAUUGAGACAGAGAAAAAGACAACUCUGGAAGGAGAGAGCCUGGCCUUACAGAAGACAUCUGAACUAUCAAUCAACAGAAAUCUCACGUAUAGUUGAAGGCAAGUCAUAAGAGUGGGGUGGGAGAUGGAUAAGUCAAUCCUACAGUUAAAAGAGGGGAUGUCUAACCACUAGACAAUUGUCCAACUCAGGAAGUAACAGCUUCAGGGUCCUAGACAACAUAGGAUUUGACCUCAUGUGCGAGAAGGCAGGAUCUUAGGGCCUCAGAGGAAAGGGCUGGGAUUCAGGACAAAUAUUUGGUCCUGGCAGGGCUGAGGAGUACUGAACAAAGAUAACAUGGCAAAAGCCUAGGCCGAUGGAGUGGCUAGCCUACAGUGAGCAUUAGGCACUAAAGAAAAACUCUUUUGCCCUUCUCAUACAACACUUCUGAUACCAAAUGUGUGGAGUUUUUCCACACAAGCAAUUCUCCAAUUCACUGCUGUCACCAACUGGGUGUCCAACAAUCCCAUCCCAUCCCAUCCCAUCCCAUCCCACCCCAUCCCAUCCCAUCCCAUCCCAUCCCAUCCCAUCCCACCCCAUCCCAUCCCAUCCCAUCCCAUCCAAUCCCAUCCAAUCCCAUCCAAUCCAAUCCAGUCCAAUCCAAUCCCAUCCAGACACUAUCUACCUGGAGUUAGUGUCAGAUCCCAGAAGGUAAAGGGCUCAAUCCCACAAGACUGCCCUACUUCAGAUGCCCAAAUCAAAAGUCUGGGCCACCUGUACUUACUUCUUUUUUUUUUUUUUUUUUUUUUUUUUUUUGAGAUGGAGUCUCCCUCUAUCACCCAGGCUGGAGUUAAGUAGCACAAUCUUGGCUCACUGCAACUUCCAUCUCCCAGGUUCAAGCCUCAGCCUCCUGAGUAGCUGGGACUACAGGUGUGUGCCACCACACCCAGCUAAUUUUUUGUUAUUUUUUAGUAGAGACAGGGUUUUACUCUAUGUUGGCCAGGCUGGUCUCAAACUCCUGACCUCAGGUUGGCCACCUGUACUUCUAACCAACUAGCUUACAAAUUGGGGGCUCCCAUGCCUCCCUCCUCAGGUUUGACAAUUUGCUAGAAUGGCUCACAGAACUCAGGAAGGCACUUUACUUACAUUUACUGGUUUAUUAUAAAGGCUACCACUCAGGAACAGUCAAUGGAAGGGAUGCACAGGGCAAGACAUGGGAUGGGGAGGGGAGGGGUAUGCAGAGCUCCCAUGGCCUUCCAGGCACACCAUCCUCCCUGCACCUCAAUGUGUUCACCAAGCUGGAAGCUCAUCACAUCUCAUGCAGAACUUUUGUAGAGCUCUAUCUCCAGCCCCUCUACUCCUUCCAGGAGGUCAGAGGGUAGGGUUGAAAAUGACAACCCUCCCUUGGCCAGGUGCGGUGGCUCACGC